rnacentral:snRNA from 1 species
UGGAACAAAAGGGUAAAAGCU